GGGCCCGCACAAGCGGUGGAGUAUGUGGUUUAAUUCGAUGCAACGCGAAGAACCUUACCAGGGUUUAAAUGCAGAACGACAGGGGUGGAAACACCCCCUUCUUCGGACGGACUGCAAGGUGCUGCAUGGUUGUCGUCAGCUCGUGCUGUGAAGUGUCGGGUUAAGUCCCAUAACGAGCGCAACCCCCAUUUCUAGUUGCCAGCGGUUCGGCCGGGGACUCUAGAGAAACUGCCAGCGUAAGCUGUGAGGAAGGUGGGGAUGACGUCAAAUCAUCACGGCCCUUACAUCCUGGGCCACACACGUGCUACAAUGGUAGGGACAACAGGUUGCCAACCCGCGAGGGUGAGCCAAUCCCAAAACCCUAUCUCAGUUCGGAUCGGAGUCUGCAACUCGACUCCGUGAAGUUGGAAUCGCUAGUAAUCGCGGAUC
rnacentral:rRNA from 1 species